GGACAUGGCAUGGAACGUGUGUGCGGAAAAGUUCGAACAUCAAGUGACCCUUGAAGCGCUACAACACUUAAAUGCACUCUUUCAGGAGUAUGAGAAAAGAGGAAGACAGCUGUUGGAUAUGGAGACUUUCAAAUGCAUAAUGAAGCAGAGCAUGAGGUUACAGAAUAAAAGUACUGAACAAAUAGAACAACUUUUCAUGAAAAUAGACUAUGAAGCAGUGGGCAGAAUUCAUUGGGAUGGCUUCUGCACAUAUCUGCAGUUAGCAUAUUCAGAGCAAGCUGAUGCUUUGGCUCGACAGAAAGAGGUUUCCUUCCAGCUGCCUGCUGUGCUGCAGGGACUGUCGUACGGGGGACCCGUGCUGCGCAUUCUCUCUGUGCCUGAUGACACCUUAAUCAUGAUCAGAGAAGAUGGAGCCAUUUAUUUCUGGUCCCUGCAGCUGAAGUUGAAAAGAAGAAAGCGAGUUUUUGACAAGCCCAUCAUUCGGAAGCGCCGGUGGGUGACGGAUGCCACCAGCAUGCCACAGUACAACAAACUGAUCCUAGGAACUGGAAACCGCGAAAUCCAGCUGUAUGAGUUCUCUAACUUGGAGCCUUACUGUCAGAUUGGUGGCCUGGAAGCUGUCCCUCUGAAACUGGACUACUGGUACGAGGAUCCUGACAAGUGCCUGAUUCUCUAUGGUGAUGACCAGGCUGAAAAAAAACUUAAAAUGAAGGUAGCCUUAAAGAGUUCAUGUUGCCAUCUAGCAAAGUGAUGAGUUGUGCUCCAGAGGGAAAUAAGUUCAGAAGCAUUGGCUGUGCCUGUCUCACCUAACAUCGCCUCACCAUCCUUCAUCGGCUUUCAGAGUCUUCACAGUUUGGAAUCAGGGAUGAGCAUAAGGGAAGCUACACUGGCAACAUGGCGACAAAAGCAAGGGAAACUCAGUUCAUCAUCAUCAUAUCACAAAGGCUGUCUCCACGAGCGACUUUCCUUGGGCUUCUUCUUUUGUUGCAUCUAGCCCAGGCUUGUGCACUUGAAGAUCAUUUGAUAAUAUUCAUCAGUGUUAUGUUCAGCAUGCUAACCGGUUUCUUAAGAAGGGCAGUA
rnacentral:lncRNA from 1 species